rnacentral:rRNA from 1 species
UACAGAGGUCUCAAGCGUUGUUCGGAUUCAUUGGGCGUAAAGGGUGCGUAGGUGGCGGGGCAAGUCAGGUGUGAAAUCUCGGGGCUCAACCCCGAAACUGCACUUGAUACUGCCUUGCUCGAGUACUGGAGAGGAGACUGGAAUUUACGGUGUAGCAGUGAAAUGCGUAGAUAUCGGAAGGAACACCAGUGGCGAAAGCGGCUUCCUGGUCCAGCACCGACGUUCAGGCACGAAAGCGUGGGGAGCAAACAGG